GUUAAGCGACUAAGCGUACACGGUGGAUGCCCUGGCAGUCAGAGGCGAUGAAGGACGUGCUAAUCUGCGAUAAGCGUCGGUGAGGUGAUAUGAACCGUUAUAACCGGCGAUUUCCGAAUGGGGAAACCCAGUGUGUUUCGACACACUAUCAUUAACUGAAUCCAUAGGUUAAUGAGGCGAACCGGGGGAACUGAAACAUCUAAGUACCCCGAGGAAAAGAAAUCAACCGAGAUUCCCCCAGUAGCGGCGAGCGAACGGGGAGGAGCCCAGAGCCUGAAUCAGUGUGUGUGUUAGUGGAAGCGUCUGGAAAGGCGCGCGAUACAGGGUGACAGCCCCGUACACAAAAAUGCACAUAUUGUGAGCUCGAUGAGUAGGGCGGGACACGUGGUAUCCUGUCUGAAUAUGGGGGGACCAUCCUCCAAGGCUAAAUACUCCUGACUGACCGAUAGUGAACCAGUACCGUGAGGGAAAGGCGAAAAGAACCCCGGCGAGGGGAGUGAAAAAGAACCUGAAACCGUGUACGUACAAGCAGUGGGAGCCUCUUAAUGGGGUGACUGCGUACCUUUUGUAUAAUGGGUCAGCGACUUAUAUUCUGUAGCAAGGUUAACCGAAUAGGGGAGCCGAAGGGAAACCGAGUCUUAACUGGGCGUUAAGUUGCAGGGUAUAGACCCGAAACCCGGUGAUCUAGCCAUGGGCAGGUUGAAGGUUGGGUAACACUAACUGGAGGACCGAACCGACUAAUGUUGAAAAAUUAGCGGAUGACUUGUGGCUGGGGGUGAAAGGCCAAUCAAACCGGGAGAUAGCUGGUUCUCCCCGAAAGCUAUUUAGGUAGCGCCUCGUGAAUUCAUCUCCGGGGGUAGAGCACUGUUUCGGCAAGGGGGUCAUCCCGACUUACCAACCCGAUGCAAACUGCGAAUACCGGAGAAUGUUAUCACGGGAGACACACGGCGGGUGCUAACGUCCGUCGUGAAGAGGGAAACAACCCAGACCGCCAGCUAAGGUCCCAAAGUCAUGGUUAAGUGGGAAACGAUGUGGGAAGGCCCAGACAGCCAGGAUGUUGGCUUAGAAGCAGCCAUCAUUUAAAGAAAGCGUAAUAGCUCACUGGUCGAGUCGGCCUGCGCGGAAGAUGUAACGGGGCUAAACCAUGCACCGAAGCUGCGGCAGCGACACUAUGUGUUGUUGGGUAGGGGAGCGUUCUGUAAGCCUGUGAAGGUGGCCUGUGAGGGUUGCUGGAGGUAUCAGAAGUGCGAAUGCUGACAUAAGUAACGAUAAAGCGGGUGAAAAGCCCGCUCGCCGGAAGACCAAGGGUUCCUGUCCAACGUUAAUCGGGGCAGGGUGAGUCGACCCCUAAGGCGAGGCCGAAAGGCGUAGUCGAUGGGAAACAGGUUAAUAUUCCUGUACUUGGUGUUACUGCGAAGGGGGGACGGAGAAGGCUAUGUUGGCCGGGCGACGGUUGUCCCGGUUUAAGCGUGUAGGCUGGUUUUCCAGGCAAAUCCGGAAAACC
rnacentral:rRNA from 1 species